UAGAACUGAGAAGAACUUCACGUGAAGAAGAAGAUGAAGAAGAAGAAGACAGGCAAAAGCACUCGGCAGGAAUUCUGAAUGUUCCAUUGCUCUUUUACUUUCAAGCAACCAGAAAAGACAGAGUUUUGGCAGGGAAAUAUCAUCUCUUCCUCCUCUUAGAAGUUUCCAGCGGCAGAAAAACUUUAGCUUUGGUUCCAAAUUUAUGCGCGCAAUUAGGGAUUUUUCAGAGGAUAGUUUCAGAGAAGAGUAGGAAUCAUGAGCUUGAAGAGUAGAGAAAUAGGAGGAGAGGCUUCACCGAGGAGUAUGGUUUCCAAAAAAUGGACCUUUCUUCUUUGCCUUGGAAGCUUCUGCGCUGGGCUGCUCUUCACAAAUAGGGAUUUUUCUAGGAAUCUCUUAAAGAAGAUAUUAACUGUAGCUCCAUAAGCCAAUCUUGAGGAUUUGUUUUGAUGUUUGAGGGAUUUAAAGUGGUAAAGAAGCAAAAUACAUGAUAAUUACACUCUUA